UCAUCUCCCAGAUUACAUUUUCUUUUCCUUACUUCAGUGCUGUUCUUUGCUCCUGAGUCCGAUUUCUCUAUUGUUGUACUAAGACUCUGAAGUUCGAAUAAGAUCCAUCCCAGUUUUCCUAAACCGUAUAGUCCUCGCCAUUUGAUGGGGGAGGAGGCACCUCACCCCGCCGCCGCCCCCCCGCCGCCUGCGGAUCAGCGCCGUCGCCGAUCUGAGGCCCCUCGCCUUCCCCCCGUGGGCGUCGCGCGGUGGGAGGAUGGACGGCGGCGCAGGGCCGGCCGAGCACAGUGACCCCGCCCGGAGGAGCAUCUCCUCCGCCGCCGCCUCCAGGAGGAGGCUCCCUCCCGCCAAGAACGGCCAUGGCCACGACGGCGGCGCCUCCAGGAGGUCCUCCGCCUCCAUCUCCCGAGCCAACUCCCCAUAUCAAGGAACGAAGGAGUGAAGGUGAUGGAAACACAUUUGGCAUCAGAAGAUUUUGUUUACUACUAUCCAGUUAGCUUUUGUGAACUACAAAUGGAAAGAACAUUGGAGAAUGAUAUUUUGCUCUCCACAAGCUGAUAAUAUGACCCUUGUCUUUUGCUUGAUAAUAUGACCCUUGUAUUUUGCUAUUGUGGUACACAAAUCUUUGGUAACACCAUGCUCUUCAUGUAAUGGCAAACACAUCUUUUGCCUAGUACAUCUGAAACAACAAUCUUUUGGCCCCUAUGUUAAGUCAGGAUCUUUAUAAAACCAUGUAACAUUUAGAAUUCUGGUGGUUCAAUGCAAUUAUGGUGCUCACAGAUCA